rnacentral:rRNA from 1 species
AAGCUCGUAGUUGGAUUUGUGGCACACCUGUGGUCCAAAUUGUUUUGGUACUGCGUGGUGUUGCCAUCGUUGGGUGGAACCUGUGGGGCAUUAGGUUGUUUUGCAGGGGAUAUCCAUCGUUUACUGUGAAAAAAUUAGAGUGUUCAAAGCAGGCUUACGCCGAUGAAUAUACUAGCAUGGAAUAAUGAAAUAGGACUUUGGUACUAUUUUGUUGGUUUGCGCACCAAAGUAAUGAUUAAUAGGGACAGUUGGGGGUAUUCGUAUUCCAUUGUCAGAGGUGAAAUUCUUGGAUUUUUGGAAGACGAACUACUGCGAAAGCAUUUACCAAGGAUGUUUUCAUUAAUCAAGAACGAAAGUUAGGGGAUCGAAGAUGAUUAGAUACCAUCGUAGUCUUA